rnacentral:rRNA from 2 species
CGGGCGCGGCGCCGGUCUAAGUCCUUUGGAACGGGGCGUCAUAGAGGGUGAGAAUCCCGUAUGCGACCGGCGACCAAGCCCAUGUGAAACUCCUUCGACGAGUCGAGUUGUUUGGGAAUGCAGCUCAAAAUGGGUGGUAAAUUUCAUCUAAAGCUAAAUACCGGCCAGAGACCGAUAGCGCACAAGUAGAGUGAUCGAAAGAUGAAAAGCACUUUGGAAAGAGAGUCAAAAAGUACGUGAAAUUGUUGAAAGGGAAGCGCUUGCAACCAGAUUUGCUCGCGGGUGAUCAGCCGUCCUUUUGGGCGGUGCAUGCACUCGCGAUCAGGCCAGCAUCGGUUCAGGCGGCCGGAUAAAGGCCUUGGGAAUGUAGCUUCCUUCGGGGAGUGUUAUAGCCCUCGGUGCAAUGCGGCUAGCCCGGAUCGAGGACCGCGCUUCGGCAAGGAUGCUGGCGUAAUGGUUAUAAGCGGCCCGUCUUGAAACACGGACCAAGGAGUCUAACAUCUAUGCGAGUGUUUGGGUGUCAAACCCAUACGCGUAAUGAAAGUGAACGGAGGUGGGAACCCCUCGAGGGCGCACCAUCGACCGAUCCAGAUGUCUUCGGAUGGAUUUGAGUACGAGCAUAGCUGUUGGGACCCGAAAGAUGGUGAACUAUGCCUGAAUAGGGUGAAGCCAGAGGAAACUCUGGUGGAGGCUCGCAGCGGUUCUGACGUGCAAAUCGAUCGUCAAAUUUGGGUAUAGGGGCGAAAGACUAAUCGAACCAUC